UACGUAGGGGGCAAGCGUUGUCCGGAAUCAUUGGGCGUAAAGCGCGUGUAGGCGGUCCGGUAAGUCGGCUGUGAAAGUCCAGGGCUCAACCCUGGGAUGCCGGUGGAUACUGUCGGGCUCGAGUCCGGAAGAGGCGAGUGGAAUUCCUGGUGUAGCGGUGAAAUGCGCAGAUAUCAGGAGGAACACCAAUGGCGAAGGCAGCUCGCUGGGACGUGACUGACGCUGAGACGCGAAAGCGUGGGGAGCAAACAGG
rnacentral:rRNA from 1 species